rnacentral:rRNA from 1 species
AAAUAUAUUUGGUCGAACAGACCGUCUUAGACUAGCUGCUACACAUGUCUAAGUAUUUAAUUCAACAUCGAGGUCACAAACACUUAUUCUGAUAAGAACUCUUAUAAGCAUAAUGCUGUUAUCCCUAGAGGAGCUAAUUUAUUAUUCCGCAAAGGAUCAUAUAAAAUUCAUAAAUUUAAAUAAGAUAAUUAAUAUUUACCCCAAAUAACUGGCCUUAAUUUAAUUUUAAGAAAUUUUUAUGGCCGCAAGCUUCAUAGGGUCUUCUCGUCAUAGAAAACUAUUUAAGUAUUUUCACUUAAAUUAUAAUUUCGCGAACUAGUAUAAAUAAAUUAUUUUAGUGAAACCAUUCAUUCUAUCCCCCAAUUAAGAAACUAAUUAUUAUGCUACCUUAGCACUAGCGCGGCUAUUGAAAUCGAUCAUUGAGCAGGAAAUACAAAUAGUGAUUGAGAUGUUUUUGAUAGACAGGCUAAAUUUAAGUUUGUCGAGUAAUUUUAAUAUAAAUUUUAUUUUAAUAAUAAUAUUUUUAGAAGCUGAUAAUUACAUAACAUAAUAACUACUAAUAUAAAUAUAUUUUAUCUGUCAACGUUAUUGGGACAAAUUAAAUUGAAGUCCUUUAAAUAUUAAAAAUAAGCUAAGUUCAAGAAUUUUAAUAAAUUCUAAUUAACAUUAUUAUUUUUAUUUAACAUUGAAAGAAUAGUGUAUUUAAAUUUAAUUUUAAAACUUGUCUUUUAAAAUAUUGAGAUAGUCUUAUAGUUAGAUUAAAUCUAGUUCAAUUCAAUAAGAAUUAACUUAAUUUAGGCAUAUCGCCCCAAAAAUAGUCUUGUAUAAGAUUUUAUCACAUCUUAAGCGAGACUAUUUUUAUUCUAAGUAAUUCGUAAUUUAAAUUAUUCUAAGUAUUCAUUUAUACAUGAUGCAAAAGGUAAACGCUUUAAAAUUUUUUAGUGUAUUUUUAUAAAUAGAAGAUUAUUAGGUGCAGACUAGGCCAGGUGAAAAUAGUAAUAGAAUUAUUAAAGUUAAUUAUUUUUGAUAAACUAUUUUAUCUCAACCCUAGGGUAUUAUUAAUUUACAAAAUUAAAAUUUUAGAUUAAAUUAUAAGAUAAAACUAUUAGAAACCUAAUUCUUUAUAAAUGUUUUCAAGACAUUCUUUUUAAAUAG